GAGAUUGGGACUUUGGGUAGAAUUAGGCGAGAGACUUAUUCUUGUAACCCAUUGAUAUCUCUUUUGUAAAGUU
rnacentral:pre_miRNA from 1 species